rnacentral:lncRNA from 1 species
GCCUAAAACUUAAAAAUAAAUAAAUAUUAAAAAUUCCCUCCCCCCCCUUUAAAAAAAAAUAGUAAAUGAACUGGGGAUGUAUGUAGCUCAGUGGUAAAGCACUCCUGGGUUCAAUACCUGUUGUCAAAAAGAAAUGCAUCGUUAUUAAGAAAAAAUUUCUUCCAGAUCCUCAAAAUGAGCAGUAUCAGUUGGUGUAAAGCACUAGCUAAUUUAUUCUAUCAUGCCUUGAUUUCAUAAGUAGCUGUUUGGUCUUUAGUUGAAAUAGGACUACACUUGCCUUAGUUUUUGUUUUUAUUUUUUUAAAAUAUUUAUUUUUUUAGGUGUAGAUGGACACAACACAAUGCCUUUAUUUUUAUGUGGUGCUGAGGACCGAACCCAGGUUCCGCCCAUGCUAGGCAAGCACUCUACCACUGAGCCUCAGUCCCAGCCCCAGUUUUUGUUUUUAAACUGGAUAUUGAACCCAGGUGUGCUCUACCACGCUAGCCAUUUUUAUUUUUGAGACAAGGUUUUGCUAAAUUGCUGAGUCUGGCCUGGAACUUGCCAUCCUCCUGCCCCAACCUUCCCAGUUGCUGAGAUUAGCUAGUACAGGUGUGGGCUGUCUUACCUUAAUAUUUUUACUAUCAGAAUCUAAUCAAUCUACCUUCUAUAUUAAUGAUUUUAGUUUUAUAAAAAUUGACCACCAUAUUAUGGCUGUUACAGUGAAGUUAUUAAGAAAAAUACCACCUAUAUCCUUAAAAGGUCUCAUUCAUAGAUUGUGAGGAUUUAAAGCAAAAGAUGUAUGUACGUUUAAUAUAGUAGAAUUUGUCUUUACACAAUAAAGCCAUGAUUUUGUUGGCAAAUGUUUGCUGACAGAAUCACAUGGGCUUAAAAAAAAAACAAAACUGAUGACAUGGUUAGGUAAAUUUGGUGGGUUUUUUUGGAGGGUAGUUGUGAUGAUAAGAAUCUUCCCUAAUGUUAAAGGUGUUUUUUCCCAACACAGGCAGACUUUAAAAUAAUACCAAGAAUUCCUGGCAAGUAAAAUUCCAAGGAGCUGGGUGUGGUGGCUACUGAGGAAGUUGAGGGUCGCUUGAGCCCAGAAGUUCAAGGAUGUAGUGUGCUAUAUCAAAGCCAAUUGGGUGUCCUUACUAGGUUCAGCAUCAAUAUGGUAACCUCCUAGGAACAGGGACACUAGUAGGUUUGCAUGUGCUGGGCACUAGUGGGCUUAUGCCUGUGAGUAGCCACUGCACUCCAGUCUGGGCAACAUGGCAAUACCCCAGAAGUAAGGAGGUAGUAGUGGGAUGUGUACGUGGCCUAAAAAUUUGCAAUGCCACACUCUUAUUGUGGCCAUACACAAUUUUUUUUAAAGCAUUUCUGUUUUGGAAACAUUUCUUGGUAAUGUUUCCAUCUAAAACAAAGAUAUUUGUGUUUUAUUGUGGUUACUAUAACAUGAAAGAAAGUAUUCCUGAGAUAAGUUAUAUAUUUGGCAGACAUUUAGAUCAUAGCUUUAGAUUAUUUGAGAAUGAAAUUUCAGUAGUAACAAUUCAACUAUAAUCAAAAUGUGCAUGAACGUUAUUCAGGUAGUCUCUUAAAUUAUACCACCAAACUCAGGACGAAUAAGACCUAGAAACUAUCAUAUGAUUACAUGUCAAAAGCCAAGAAAGCUGGGGAAGAGUGUUAGGGAGAUUGUUUGUUUUAAAACUCCACAAAGUCAAGAAUAUAUCUUCUAGGCCUCUGAUGGCAGUGCUUAUCAAGCUAUAGCAGAGAACAUGACACUAUAGCCUAGGCUAUAGGCACUCUUUGGCCAUUAUACUGACUCCUUGAUAUUAGAAAAAGGAAAAUAAUUCUCCAACAGAAGUCCUGUUUUAAGUAUUGGGUGGUAAAAAGAAACAUCCCCAAAGAACAAUUAAAAGAUUGGAUUUGGAUAGAAUUACAAGUGACCGUCAACAUUUUCUAUAAUUUGUAAUGAGAAAAGCUGUUCCCAAAGUGGUGGUUAAACAUUGUAAUAAGGAGAGAAAUCCAUAGAGACUUCGGGAUAAUAGGCAGAGGUUAGCACAAAGGUGACAGUGUUCAUUUCUACUGCAUUCUUAGUUAAGUAAGCUUUUGUGGACCCUCUGGGAAUAUAACCACUAUUUCCAUGGGAAAAUAAAUUCCAGGUUCCAAACAACUAAUUUACAGUGAUUUUCUGGAUCAUAGCCCACUAAUAAGUUUGAACUUCCUGUGCUGUAACAUCUUUCCCAUGUCCUUAAAGACAACCAGAACUCACUAGUGAGAAUAGGGAAGUAAGUUACUCCUCAUUACAAUAAAAUAAGGAGUAACUAUCAACAUAGUCCAAAUAGCUUGAUUUAAACCCAGGGAAGAUAAUCAAAGACAUAAAGUUUUUAAAGGCAGUGGUAGUAAUUGAAAAUCUUUUUUUUUUUUUAAGAGAAACAGAGAGAAUUUUUUAAUAUUUAUUUUUUAGUUUUUGGCAGACACAACAUCUUUGUAUGUGGUGCUGAGGAUCGAACCCGGGCCGCACGCAUGCCAGGCGAGCGCGCUACCGCUUGAGCCAUAUCCCCAGCCCCGUAAUUGAAAAUCUUACUGUUUACUUUUGUAUACAUUGGAAUUUCUGGUUUUUGCAUAACCGGGUGCCAUAUAACAUUGGUAUUUGCAUUUUGUUUAAAAUAUAUAUAAUCUUAGUUGCUGAUGGACCUUUAUUUUAAUUACAUAUGGUAUUAAGAAUCAAAUCCAGUGACUCACACAUGCCAGGCAAGCACUCUAUCACUGAGCCACAACCCCAACCCCUGUUUCAUUCUUAAAACCAGAAAGAGAAAGAAAUGUGGUCAUGACAGCAGAUAAGAUUCCACUAGAAACUACUCAACCUAGCUGGGUGUGAUAGCACAUACCUAUAAUCCCAGCAGCACAGGAGGCUGAGGUAGGAGGAUCAUGGGUUCAAAGCCAGCCUCAGCAAAUUAGGGAGCCUGUAAGCAAUAGUCUCUCAAAAAAAAAAAAAAUAAUAAUAACAAUAAUAAAAAAAUAAACACUGAGCCACAUCCCCAGCCCUAUUUUGUAUUUUAUUUAGAGACAGGGUCUCACUGAGUUGCUUAGUGCCUUGCUUUAGCUGAGGCUGGCUUUGAAGAGAUUCUCCAGUCUCAGCCUCCGGAGCCACUGAGAUUACAGGCGUGCACCACCCUGCCCAGCUUUCAAAAUAAAAUUUUAAAAGGGGAAAGGGGGUUCAAUGUGGCUCAGUGAUUAAGCACCCCUGGUCUCUAUCCCUGGUACCAAAAAAAGAAAAGAAACUACUCAACCUAAUCCCUCUAUUAGGUGGUGUUCUUUUUGCCUCAUACAGGAAGCCAUGGCCACUUUUGUUUUGAUGCUUCUUUUCUUGUUUUGAUGUUCUCUGUUCUCAGCUCUGCCAACUCAAAUUCCAUUCUGCUUUGAUGCUUUGCUUAAAACCUUGUCCCUGAAGCCUUCUGAUGCCAACCCAAGUGUACAAAUUCUUACUUUAGUGUCCUACAUUGUUUUCCAGAUUUUGUUUGUUUGUUUGUUUGUUUUUGUUUCUGUUUUCCAAAUAGGUAAGGGGCUGUGGUGGUUAAGAGCUUAAUCUCUGAGGUCAAAGUCAUCAAGUUUAGAAAUAUAGCUCCAGCAUUUUUGUGCUGUUUGACUCUUUGUAAGCUUCUUAACCUCUCACUUUCCUGAUUGGUAAAAAUGGAGAUAAUAGUACUACCUACCUCAUUGGGGUGUUCUGAGGACUAGAUGGCAGUAAUGGAUAUAAAGGCACUAGGCAGGGUCUCCAGCACACAGCAAGUACUAAGGAAAGAGCAGCUGCUCUUUUUGGUUGUUUGCCAGCAAACACCUACAGUUAGUACUGCUCAAGGUCAGGAGGUAUCCUUUUGUUUUUGUUUUGUUUUGUUUUUAAACAUUACCUAGACAGUGGACUUACCAUGGUCAUAAGCCAAAUUCAACAGAAGGAAAGAUGAAGGGAGAUAACUAAGAUUCUAGCAUACCAAAUAUAUGCAUUGAAACAGAAACUGUUUACUGAUUUUUUUCCAUAUAUUUUUUUUAAAUACCCAGAUAAUUUAUAGUCUGCAACAAAAAAUUUAAGUUUAGCUGUGAUUUUGGUGCCCUUCAAAGUCUGAAAAUAUAAGGGGUACAGGAAGUACAUACAGAAUACACAAAAGAAGAAUAUUAUGACCACUUAACUCCUUUCGUUAACCAUUCUGUACAGAGAAAUGCAUUUAAAUCUCAAUAUCCUAAAUAUUGAAAAUGAAAGACAUCUGACAAUAAGGCAUAAAAGAAUUAUGAAAUAUCUUUUAAAAAAAGUGGUACCACAAAGGGAACAAUAAAAGUUUUAUACUUGUCUAAUAUUUUCAGUUGUGUUAUAGGGCAGCUAUUCAUUUAUUGUUUUAAAAUGCACAUUCAGUAUUAGUGUAGGUGUAGAUCAGAAACCCUGAAUCCCAGGGCUAAUAUUUACUUGAAAACUGGGGCAGGCUCCCUGGCCUCUCAAACCUCAAUGCCCUCAUUCUUAACACAGACUGUUUGAAUAAGGUGAUUUUAGGACCCUAUAUGAUAUACUAGCUCAUUCAUAACAGCUACUCCAUAACUGUCAAUUUCUAUUUAUUUUCUCUCCACUGAAUUCAUAGAAAGUAGAUCAAAGUAGAUUUUAAUUUGAAAACUGAGAAAAGUCGGGUAGCUAACUGUAAAAUCAAAAAAAAAUUUUAAGUACUUGAAAUUGAACUCCUGGAGUGCUCUACCAAUGAACUACAUCAUCCCCAGCCCUUUUUAUUUUUUAUUUUGAGACUGAGUCUCAGUUAAUUGCUGAGUCUGGCCUUAAACUUGUGAUCCUUCAGCCUCAGCCUCCUAAGUAAUGGGAUUGUAGGCAUCCACUGCCUCACCUGGGUCUUGGAUCAGUUUCUAAAGUAUUUAAAAGGAAUUAUAUAGUUAAUUAGAAUCCUAUUACAUAUUUACUACUUGCGUGAUUUUUCCUUUUGAUUAAAGUUAAUGCUCUUCAGUAAAUUAAAGUUUAGUUUUUAAGAAUAAUUUUAAAUAUGAUUGAGGGCUGGGGAAGUAGUUCAGGUACUUGCCUAGCAUGCAUGAAGUCCAGGCUCUGAGUGUUUCCCAGCACUUAAAAAAAUAGAAAUUAAAAAUAUAUGGAUAUAUGUAAUUGAACUUUUAUUUUCACAUAAGAACAGACUCAGUCAACAUAAAACUACAAGCAUUUGUUCAUUCUUCCAGGUACCAGACACUGCUAGGCAUUUCCCUAGCACCUGGCUGUAACCAAACAAACAAACAAACAGGGUUCUUAUUCAGGGGUACUAGGUAAUACUGUGGCAAGAGAUCUUACCUUAAUUCUGCCAUAGAUGUUAGAAAAUGUGGGAAUUUAAGCAUCAGCUUAGCAGAUUAUGAAGGAGAAUGAUAGCCAGCUCAGUGGUGAAUGCCUGUAAUCCUAACAACUCUGGAGGCUGAGUUAGGAGGAUCACGAGUUCAAAGCCAGCCUCAACAAGUUAGCAAGGCACUUAGCAACUCGGCAAGACCCUAUCUCUAAAUAAAAAUAUAAAAAAGGGCUGGGGAUAUGACUCAGUGGUUAAGCACUCUUGGGUUCAAUACCUGGUAUAAAAAAAAAAAAAAGAUAAAAUUUGGGAGAGUUGGAUAUAGUGGUGCAUCAUUGUAAUUCCAACUACUCUGGAGGUUGAGGCAGAAAGGUCAAAAGUUUGAAACCAUCCUGGGCAACUUAGACCCUAUCUCAACAUAAAAAAGGCUGGGUAUGUAGCUUGGUGAUAGAGUGCCCUGGGUUCAAUCUCUUGUACUACAUACACAUACCUCCACAAGAAAGGAAAGGAGAAUGAUAGAAAAUAUCCAAAGUCAUUGUAAUUGAAGUGUUAACACAGAAUAUGUGCCUUUGUGUAUACACUGAGGUGGAACCCAGGGAUGCUUUAUCACUGAGUCAUAUACCCAGUCCUUUUUAUUUUUUAUUUUCAGACAACCCUUGAACUUGUGACCCUCCUGCCUCCAUUUCUUGAGUUGCUGGCAUAAAAAAUGUGCACCAUCAGGCCCAGGUAUAUUUUCAUUCAGGGUUGGGACAAAAAGUUAAAAAGCUGCUUCUACAUAAGGAUGAAAUUUGUAGCAGCUUCAGUAUUUAAUAGUGAACAAUACAGGCAGUCUCUGGUCUCCUUGACUUUACAGUCUAGGAAAUUGGCCUGGUGUAAGUCUAAAGGAAUGGUAGAACCUGAGAAGAACUUGAGACCACUGGGUUAAAAAUAUUGUUUCUUAGCUGGGUGCAGUGGUAUGUGCCUAUAAUUCCAGUGACUGAGGAAGCUAAGAUGGGAGGAUUGCAAGUUCCAGUCAGCACCAGCAACUUAGGAAGACCCUGUCUCAAAAUAAUAAGAAUAAUAAUAAAAAAAAUAGGGCUGAGGAAUGUGGCUCAGUGGUAAAGCACCCCUGGGUUAAGUCCUUGUACCAAAAUAAAAUUUAAAUUUUUUUCUUCUUUAUUUUUUAACAACUACUAGCCAAGCUAAACAUGUCUGUGGGAAAUUAGCUGGCUAGAAUAUGUGACCCUGGCUAGGGUAGCUCAUCAAAAUAAAGCUUGUCUAUGCAAUUUAGGUCACUCUACCUCAGAGACACAAAGGAGCCAGAGAAGAUCUAUAUAGAACCAUUGUGUGGUCAAAAGAAUGAAAGAAAAUCUGGAAAUACUAGGACUUCUGUGCAUGAAAAAAGAAACUGAAGGGGGUUGUGAUUAAAGUCAGUGAAGGACGUAGACCAACUGAACAUUAAAUUGUUUACCUAUAAGUGAAAGACAACUUUUGAAUCUCAAGAGAAGUAUUUCUUUUGAAAGAGUUUUCACAUAGCAAAUUCUGACCAUAUAGAGCUUAUUUUUUAAAUUGUCAAAGAUGGAAUUUGUUUCAAAGGUUAAUUUUUUAAAAAAUUUUUAUAAUAUGGGGGGAUAGUAGAGGAUAAGAAAGGCAGCAGAAUACAACAGACACUAGUAUGGCAGUAUGUAAAAACGUGGAUGUGUAACCCAUGUGAUUCUGCAAUCUGUAUACGGGGUAAAAAUGGGAGUUCAUAACCCACUUGAAUCAAAUGUAUGAAAUAUGAUAUGUCAAGAGCUUUGUAAUGUUUUGAACAACUAAUAAUAAAUAAAUCUGUAAGGCAAAUAUAAAUAAAUAAAUAAAUAAAUAAAAUAAUUUUUAUAAUGAAAUAGUUUAUUAGGCACAGAGGGUGACUGGUAGGCAAAGUUAGUAGUACCCCAGGGGGAGGUGAGGCACAGGAGCCUUCGUUUUCCCUGCUGUCACCCUUCAAGGCUGCAUGCAGAGCCCCAUCCAUCCAGAUGACCUCUCCUUUGAGGAACAGGUUCUUGAUUAUGGUCUGGACCAGGUGAGCGUACUCAGCAGGGUCACCCAGUUGGCUGAGGAAGGGUACCUGACUGGCCAGGAAGUUGGACACCUUCUCUGGAAGCCUAGUCAGCAAUGGGGUGCCAAACAGACCUGACCUGGAGCAAUGGCCAAACCCAGAUGCCUUUUGGAGCCAGAUCCCAAGCAAUGGGCAAUGUCAUGCCAACUAUGCCCCCUGUGGAAGCAAAAUACGCAGCUUGUCCUGCCUAGCCCUCAAAGGCAGCCACAUUGGCAGUGUUGAUGAUAACCCCACAUUGAUCUCCCUGGUCUGGUUCUUUCUCGCUCAUCUCACCAGCAACCAGGUGGAUCAUUGAAGGUACCCAUAAGCUUCACAUUGAAAACCUACUGGAACUCCUCCAAGGAAUGGGCCUGGUUCUUCUCUAAGUUGUAUGUCUUUAAGUUUUAUGUCUUAUUGGCCAUUGCAAUACCUGCACAGUGGACAGCCACAUCCACACAGCCAAACUUCUCCUUUGCUAGUCAGGGCUGAUUGAACAUCCUUCUUAGAGGUCAUAUCGAUUGGGGCACACAUGCGUCUCUUUCCUAACUUCUUGGUUUGGGCAUCACCACCUGAGUCAGGCAUGUCCAGAAGCACAGCAGUAGUCCUGUGCUUCAUCAGUCAUUCUGCAAUGGCCAGACCAAGACCGGAGGCUACUCCAGUUAUUACUGCUACCAGGCCCUUCAUGUUCCAACAUGCCACAGCCAUCUUGCACCAGCCUCACUAUUGAAGAACUCAAAGGUUAACUUUUUAACAGUUGACUUGGUGGUGUACACCUGUAAUCCCAGGGACCCUGGAGGCUAAGGCAGGAGGAUCACAAGUUUGAGGCCAGUCUGAGCAACUUCGGGAGAACUAUUUCAAAAUAAAAAAUGACUGGUAAUAUUUAAAAAUUUUAAAAUGACUUAGUGGCACAGUGUACCUGGAUUAAAUCCACAGUAUCUAAAUAAAUAAAUAAAUAAAUGAAAGGCUCAGAUCAAACCAUGCGUGUUUUUUUGUUUUUUUGGGUUUUUUUUUUUGGUAGUGGAGAUUGAACUCAGGGCCACUUAACCACUGAAACAUAACCCUUGCCCUUUUUUUGUAUUUUAUUUAGACACAGGGUAUCACUGAGAUGUUUAUGGCUUUGCUGAGGCUGGCUUUGAACUCCUAAUCCUGCCACUGAGAUUAUAGGCCCAGUGCAUGCAGUCUUCAGUGGUGAAAUAUUUAUUGGGUACUACACAGUUGUGCUCAGGGAAUUUAUAAUCUAGUUGCAAAGAGAAGAACCAGGAAGAAUGAACAAAAUAAGCAAGGGUUCCUGGCCACAGCGAGGGUGAGGAGAGAAGGGCUCCUUGGACUGCUGGAGAAGGCUAGGCGCUACUAAACUGGGCUUUAGGCCCAAUUCAGGAACUGAGUACAGUGGGGUGCUCCCAGAACUCUGGGCCUCAUUCACUCCUGUAUGCAUUAAAUCAGAUACCCCAAAAUCCCUAACAUAGUCCAGAUACAUGGAAGACCAGAGAUCAGUUUGUUAAAAUGGAGAGAAUUUUUAUUGAUGUUGGAUAGAGGAAAUGGCAUGAUCCAAAGCAGGAGUGAGCAGGUAUUCUCCACAGUGGAAUAGGUGUGCACUGGGAAAUGUAGUAGACAAAGUAGCGUAGGGCCCAGUUAAGAGGAUUUUGAGGGGCUGAGGUUGUGCCUCAUCAGUAGAGCACUCACCUAACACAUGCGAGGCCCUGGGUUCGAUCCUCAGCACCACAUAAAAAUAAAUAAAUAAAGGCAUUGUGUCUAACUACACCUAAAAAAUAAAUAUUAAAAAAGAGGACUUUGAAAGCCAAGCAGAAAAGUUCAAACAGAUAUAACAUGCAACAAAGAACCAUAAUUUUUACUUACUUUAAGGAUUUUCUGCUGUUCAAAUAUUCAAGAAGUACCUAUAAAUCAUCUACAGUGUACAAGUAGUAGGAUAUUGGUGAAAAAUACAGCUCCUGCCCUCACAUGGAUGAAGUCAGACAAGAAAGGAAACAAUUAUUAUUUUAGGGAUGUUUUAUUCUUAUAUAGAUCCUAAUUUUAUAUUUAUUUAUUUAUUUGUUGUUAUUUUGGUGCCAGAGAUUAAACACAUGCCAACCAUAUGCCCUACCACUGAGCUACAACCCUAGUCUCAUGACCUGCUUUAAAAAUACAAGCUUCUACUGGGUGCUGUGGUGCAUACCUAUAAUCCCAGUGACUUGGAAAGCUGAGGCUAGAGGAUUGCAAGUUCCAGGCCAACUGAGCAACUUGUAGCUCAGUGGUAGAGCAUCCCUGGGUUCAAUCCCCUGUACCACACAAAAUAAUAAUAAUAAUAAUAUUUCUUAAAGAGAUAGAUGUUCCAGGAGGGCUAGAACUUUUGUUUUUGUCUAUUUUAUUCACUUAGCAUCAGAAACAGGAUUUUAUGUAUUUAUGGUUUUACAUGUUGAGCACAAAGUAUGCAUCAGAAAUUUUUUUGAAUUAAUGAUAGUAUUUGAGAUUUUGAAUUCUUAAAAAGUAUAAUCCCUUUUUUAAGAUAGGUUAAAUGAGAAGAGCUCUGAGAGAGUAAGUGUAGACUUUCUAUUAAUUUCACUAAAAAAGUUCAUCUAUAGCUCAUUGGCAACAGACUUACCUGGCAUAUACAAGGUUCCUAUAUG